AUAAGUGCCAUAGCUCAUAAAUAAAUUUCUUGCUUGCAAGGAAAUUUAUUUAUGAGUUUAUGGCACGCUGAAACAUGAGGAAGUAGCUGUUUUUGUAGAAAACAAGCGGAUUCCGAAUGUUUCAAGGAUUGCUAGAGUUUCGUAAGAAACGGAGCAAUCCGUAU
rnacentral:sRNA from 1 species